AUUGAACGCUGGCGGCAGGCCUAACACAUGCAAGUCGAACGAGUGGCGGACGGGUGAGUAAUGUCUGGGAAACUGCCUGAUGGCGGGGGAUGACUACUGGAAACGGUAGCUAAUACCGCAUACCAUCGGAUGUGCCCAGAUGGGAUUAGCUAGUCGGUGGGGUAAAGGCUCACCUAGGCGACGAUCCCUAGCUGGUCUGAGAGGAUGACCAGCCACACUGGAACUGAGACACGGUCCAGACGCCUACGGGAGGCAGCAGUGGGGAAUAUUGCACAAUGGGCGCAAGCCGGAUGCAGCCAUGCCGCGGGUAUGAAGAAGGCCUUCGGGGUGUAAAGUACUUUCAGCGUGGAGGCGUUACCCGCAGAAGAAGCACCGGCUAACUACGUGCCAGCAGCCGCGGUAAUUC
rnacentral:rRNA from 1 species